rnacentral:lncRNA from 1 species
CAGAACUCAAACAACUCAGUAAUUACCCAGUUAUGAUCCUGGCUAUGGUCUGAGGACUGGAAAAACCUGCUGGUGCUGCAGGAACAGCUGUGUGCUUUCAGGAAGCAGUUUUAACUCCUGCAAUUUGCAGCUCCACGACAUCUAUCUGCAUUGCACAGAAGUGAGGUGUGUAAAGCAUACCUUUGGGAUGGAUUUUCAGCACAGUGCCCCUUUGGCACAUCAAGAAUGAUCCAGAAAAGCACAGGAUUAUGAGCCUGAAGUUGAACAGGUACUUACAUGC